rnacentral:rRNA from 1 species
UUCUUGAGUACAGUGGAAGUGGGCGGAAUGUGUUAUGUAGCGGUGAAAUGCAUAGAUAUAACACAGAACACCGAUUGCGAAGGCAGCUCACUAUACUGUAACUGACGCUGAGGCACGAAAGCGUGGGGAGCGAACAGGAUUAGAUACCCUGGUAGUCCACGCCGUAAACGAUGAUUACUCGAUGUUGGCGAUACACUGUCAGCGUCUAAGCGAAAGUGUUAAGUAAUCCACCUGGGGAGUACGGUCGCAAGAUUGAAACUCAAAGGAAUUGACGGGGGCCCGCACAAGCGGAGGAGCAUGUGGUUUAAUUCGAUGAUACGCGAGGAACCUUACCUGGGCUUAAAUGUAGAAUGAUCGUCUGGGAAACCAGUCUUUUCUUCGGAACAAUCUACAAGGUGCUGCAUGGUUGUCGUCAGCUCGUGCCGUGAGGUGUCGGGUUAAGUCCCUUAACGAGCGCAACCCCUAUCUCUUGUUGCUAACAGGUAAUGCUGAGGACUCUGGAGAGACUGCCUACGCAAGUAGUGAGGAAGGUGGGGAUGACGUCAAAUCAGCACGGCCCUUAUGUCCAGGGCUACACACGUGCUACAAUGGUCAGUACAGAGGGCUGCUACUUGGUGACAAGAUGCUAAUCUCGAAAACUGAUCUCAGUUCGGAUCGAAGUCUGCAACUCGACUUCGUGAAGCUGGAUUCGCUAGUAAUCGCAUAUCAGCCAUGAUGCGGUGAAUACGUUCCCGGGCCUUGUACACACCGCCCGUCAAGCCACGGAAGUUGGGGGUGCCUGA